rnacentral:tRNA from 1 species
UGACCUCAUAGCCCAGCGAGAUGGCGCGCGGCUCGUUCUCGCGGAUGGCGGCGAGGAUGUUGCCGAAGGGCGAGUUCACCACCCGCCAGAUCAGC